rnacentral:rRNA from 1 species
CAACAGGGAUUGCCUUAGUAGCGGCGAGUGAAGCGGCAAUAGCUCAAAUUUGAAAUCUGGCACUUUCAGUGUCCGAGUUGUAAUUUGAAGAAGGUAUCUUUGGGUCUAGCUCUUGUCUAUGUUUCUUGGAACAGAACGUCACAGAGGGUGAGAAUCCCGUGCGAUGAGAUGUCUAGAUCUAUGUAAAGUUCCUUCGAAGAGUCGAGUUGUUUGGGAAUGCAGCUCUAAGUGGGUGGUAAAUUCCAUCUAAAGCUAAAUAUUGGCGAGAGACCGAUAGCGAACAAGUACAGUGAUGGAAAGAUGAAAAGAACUUUGAAAAGAGAGUGAAAAAGUACGUGAAAUUGUUGAAAGGGAAGGGCUUGAGAUCAGACUUGGUAUUUUGUAUGUUACUCUCUCGGGGGUGGCCUCUACAGUUUACCGGGCCAGCAUCAGUUUGAGCGGUAGGAGAAUUGCGUAGGAAUGUGGCUCGGCCUCGGUCGAGUGUUAUAGCCUUCGUCGAUACUGCCAGCUUAGACUGAGGACUGCGGCUUCGGCCUAGGAUGUUGGCAUAAUGAUCUUAAGUCGCCCGUCUUACACCCACGGACCAAA